UAGGGAAUCUUCGGCAAUGGACGAAAGUCUGACCGAGCAACGCCGCGUGAGUGAAGAAGGUUUUCGGAUCGUAAAACUCUGUUGUUAGAGAAGAACAAGGACGUUAGUAACUGAACGUCCCCUGACGGUAUCUAACCAGAAAGCCACGGCUAACUACGUGCCAGCAGCCGCGGUAAUACGUAGGUGGCAAGCGUUGUCCGGAUUUAUUGGGCGUAAAGCGAGCGCAGGCGGUUUCUUAAGUCUGAUGUGAAAGCCCCCGGCUCAACCGGGGAGGGUCAUUGGAAACUGGGAGACUUGAGUGCAGAAGAGGAGAGUGGAAUUCCAUGUGUAGCGGUGAAAUGCGUAGAUAUAUAGAGGAACACCAGUGGCGAAGGCGGCUCUCUGGUCUGUAACUGACGCUGAGGCUCGAAAGCGUGGGGAGCAAACAGG
rnacentral:rRNA from 2 species